CAAUUCCCUCUCCCGCUCCUCAGUCAGGAUGAGGUCCCUUCUGGAAGGUUUCCUGAAACUGUGCCACUGUCAUAGUUUGCCCUCACCUCUGCUGUAGACAGCCAGCUAUCCAUCCCAAUGUCUGUUUCCCUUUUUUCUCAUGUUCACUGGGGCACCUGACCUCCCAGAAUAAAGACACUACAUUCCCUAGUCUUCCUUGCAGCUAGAUGUAGCCAGGAGAUGAAGCUCCAGCCAAUGAAAUCUAAGCAGAACUACAGUCUGCCCUCAAAAAAGGGAGCUCUUCUUCUGCUCAUGUUCACAGCAGCAUUACUAUUCGCAAUAGCCAAAAGGUGGAAGCAACCCAAGUGUCCAUCGAUGAAUGGACAGAUACAGAAAAUGUGGUCUGUCCACACAAUGGAAUAUUAUUGCACCUCAGAAAGGAAGGAAACACUUACAUUUGCUACACAUGGCAUGGAUGAACCUUGAAGACAUUAUGCUAAGUGAAAUAAGCCAGACACAAAAGAUCAAACACUGUAUAAUUCCACUUACAUGAGUUCCCUAGAGGAGUCAAACCCACAGAGACAGAAAGCGGAAUGGUGGUUACCAGGAGCUACAGGGAGAGGGAAUGGGAG
rnacentral:lncRNA from 10 species